GAAAGCGGGACGUUACCAGGUUUAUAUUGAAAUACAGAAGAGAUCACGGCGGCCGGAUUUCGUCCUUGGCAUGCAAGCGGCGCGGAGCUGCGGCGGAUGCGGAGCGUCUUGAUCCUGGUGCCCCGGAGAGAGCAGUUUUAUUCAUAAUGUGGAUGCGAAGAGAGAUACAUUAAAAGGCUCAGGGGAGUGUGCAGAUGGAGGGUUAUCCUAGUGUUCCCUGCCUGGCAUCAACGUGGCUCAUCUACCUAAGUGACUGCAGUGAUCUAAGAGGAAUCACCACCUGCUUCAGGGAAAGUGCGGAUGGACAAUAAAAAUAGUAUCUUAUCCCAAGAGUGAAUCACACUAAGUCCUCGUUGUCCAUGAGGGAUAGUAUCACAGACAUUCUGCAGGAGGAAACCGGAGCACCCAG